rnacentral:rRNA from 1 species
CAGUAGCCACGGUAAUACAGAGGGUGCAAGCGUUAAUCGGAAUUACUGGGCGUAAAGCGCGCGUAGGUGGUUUGUUAAGUUGGAUGUGAAAGCCCCGGGCUCAACCUGGGAACUGCAUCCAAAACUGGCAAGCUAGAGUACGGUAGAGGGUGGUGGAAUUUCCUGUGUAGCGGUGAAAUGCGUAGAUAUAGGAAGGAACACCAGUGGCGAAGGCGACCACCUUGACUGAUACUGACACUGAGGUGCGAAAGCGUGGGGAGCAAACAGGAUUAGAUACCCGUGUAGUCCCUGUCUCUUAUAC